AAGUGGAUUAGUGGCGCACGGGUGAGUAACGCAUAGAUGACAUGCCCUUUAGUCUGGGAUAGCCAUUGGAAACGAUGAUUAAUACUAGAUACACCCCACGGGGGAAAGUGGCAUUCAAUAAUGUCCUUAAAGUUUUUUAAAACAAAGAAAUUAAAGUAAAUGUUUUAGAUUCUAUAAGUUUGUAUGGAUAAAUGUAACGGAAUCUAAAAUGAUGCUCUUAAGGGUAUUAUUGAGUGCUUACGCUAAAGGAUUGGUCUAUGUCCUAUCAGCUUGUUGGUAAGGUAAUGGCUUACCAAGGCUAUGACGGGUAUCCGGCCUGAGAGGGUGAACGGACACACUGGAACUGAGACACGGUCCAGACUCCUACGGGAGGCAGCAGUAGGGAAUAUUGCUCAAUGGGGGAAACCCUGAAGCAGCAACGCCGCGUGGAGGAUGAAGGUUUUAGGAUUGUAAACUCCUUUUGUUAGAGAAGAUU
rnacentral:rRNA from 1 species